GCCUUAGGAUUGGUCUGCGGUCUAUCAGGCAGUAGUGGGUGUAACGGACCCACUAGCCCGUGACGGAUAUGGGCCUUGAGAGAGGGUGCCCAGAGAUGGACUCUGAGACAUGAGUCCAGGCCCUACGGGGCGCAGCAGUCGCGAAAACUUCGCAAUGGGGGAAACCCCGACGAGGGAAUUCCAAGUGCUAGCACUUUGUGUUAGCUGUUCUUCUGUCUAAAAAACAGGAGAAGUAAGGGGCGGGUAAGACGGGUGCCAGCCGCCGCGGUAAUACCCGCGCCCCAAGUGGUGGUCGAUAUUAUUGAGCCUAAAACGUUCGUAGCCGGUCUUCUAAAUCCUUGGGUAAAUCGGGCAGCUUAACUGUCCGAAUUCCGGGGAGACUGGGAGACUUGGGACCGGGAGAGGUCAGAGGUACUUCUGGGGUAGGGGUAAAAUCCUGUAAUCCUGGAAGGACCACCGGUGGCGAAGGCGUCUGACUAGAACGGAUCCGACGGUGAGGAACGAAGCCCUGGGGCGCAAACGGGAUUAGAUACCCCGGUAGUCCAGGGUGUAAACGCUGCGGGCUUGGUGUUGGGGGUCCUUAGGGGGCGCCCAGUGCCGGAGAGAAGUUGUUAAGCCUGCUGCUUGGGGAGUAUGUCCGCAAGGAUGAAACUUAAAGGAAUUGGCGGGGGAGCACC
rnacentral:rRNA from 1 species